UAGGGAAUCUUCGGCAAUGGGGGGAACCCUGACCGAGCAACGCCGCGUGAGUGAAGAAGGUUUUCGGAUCGUAAAGCUCUGUUGUUAAGGAAGAACGAGUGUGAGAAUGGAAAGUUCAUACUGUGACGGUACUUAACCAGAAAGGGACGGCUAACUACGUGCCAGCAGCCGCGGUAAUACGUAGGUCCCGAGCGUUGUCCGGAUUUAUUGGGCGUAAAGCGAGCGCAGGCGGGUAGAUAAGUCUGAAGUUAAAGGCAGUGGCUCAACCAUUGUAGGCUUUGGAAACUGUUUAACAUGAGUGCAGAAGGGGAGGGUGGAAUUCCAUGAGUAGCGGUGAAAUGCGUAGAUAUAUGGAGGAACACCGGUGGCGAAAGCGGCUCUCUGGUCUGUAGCUGACGCUGAGGCUCGAAAGCGUGGGGAACGAACAGG
rnacentral:rRNA from 1 species